CAAAUCUGUCCCAAAUUUCUUGUCUUAGAUUUGUCUAGAUACAGAUGUAUCUAAUACUAAAAUGUGACUUGAUACAUCCGUAUCUAGACAAAUCUAAGACAAGAAUUUUGGGACGGAGGGAGUACUUU
rnacentral:pre_miRNA from 1 species